AAUAGAUACCCCGGUAGUCCAUGCCGUAAACGUUGGGAACUAGAUGUGGGGACCAUUCCACGGUCUCCGUGUCGCAGCUAACGCAUUAAGUUCCCCGCCUGGGGAGUACGGCCGCAAGGCUAAAACUCAAAGGAAUUGACGGGGGCCCGCACAAGCGGCGGAGCAUGCGGAUUAAUUCGAUGCAACGCGAAGAACCUUACCAAGGCUUGACAUAUACGAGAACGCCGUAGAAAUACGGAACUCUUUGGACACUCGUAUACAGGUGGUGCAUGGUUGUCGUCAGCUCGUGUCGUGAGAUGUUGGGUUAAGUCCCGCAACGAGCGCAACCCUCGUCGUAUGUUGCCAGCACGUAAUGGUGGGAACUCAUAUGAGACUGCCGGGGUCAACUCGGAGGAAGGUGGGGAUGAGGUCAAAUCAUCAUGCCCCUUAUGUCUUGGGCUUCACGCAUGCUACAAUGGCCGGUACAAAGGGCUGCAAUACCGCAAGGUGGAGCGAAUCCCGAAAAAGCCGGUCUCAGUUCGGAUUGAGGUCUGCAACUCCG
rnacentral:rRNA from 1 species